GAGAGAAGAAAAUUGACAUUAAAGGAGAACCAGUAACUAAAGAUGUAUGAUGAAUCAAGAUGUGAUCAUGUGAGAGAAGAAAAUUGACAUUAAAGGAGAACCAGUAACUAAAGAUGUAUGAUGAAUCAAGAUGUGAUCAUGUGGGUCCUGUUCUGCAGAUGCCAUGAGAUGAUCUGUCUGUCCAUCUGAUAUCACUUGUCCUGAGUAUAUUUUUUCUCCUCUUAGCCCG